AUUGAACGCUGGCGGCAGGCUUAACACAUGCAAGUCGAACGAGUGGCGGACGGGUGAGUAAUGCUUGGGGAUUUAGCUUAUGGAGGGGGAUAACUACGGGAAACUGUAGCUAAUACUGCGUACCAUAGGAUGAGCCCAAGUGGGAUUAGGUAGUUGGUGGGGUAAAGGCUAUCCAAGCCGACGAUGCCUAGCUGGGUUGAGAGGAUGACCAGGCACACUGGGACUGAGACACGGACCAGACUCCGACGGUAGGCAGCAGUGGGGAAUAUUGCGCAAUGGGGCCAACCUGACACAGUCAUGCCGCGUGAAUGAAGAAGGCCUUCAGGUUGUAAAGUUCUAUCGGUAGCGAGGCGUUAACUACAGAAGAAGCACCGGCUAACUCCGUGCCAGCAGCCGCGGUAAUAC
rnacentral:rRNA from 1 species